rnacentral:tRNA from 1 species
GGUGAGGUGCCAGAGUGGCCGAAUGGGACUCACUGCUAAUGAGUUGUGCGGGGUUAAACUGCACCGAGGGUUCGAAUCCCUCCCUCACCG